AUGAAGACCAUUGUCAGCAAUCAGACUGUUAACAUUCCAAAAAUGUCAACAUCACUCUGAAAGGGUGCACAGUCAUUGUGAAGGGACCCAGGGGAACUUUGCAGAGGGACUUCAAUCACAUCAAUGUAGAGCUGAGUCUCCUUGGGAAGAAAAAGAGGUUGUUGGGGUAACAGAAAGGAACCGGCCAGUGUCAGAACCAUCUGCAGUCAUGUUCAGAACAUGAUCAAGGGUGUGAUGCUGGGCUUCCAUUACAAGAUGAGGUCUGUGUAUGCUCACUUCCCCAUCAAUGUCCUGAAUUAGGAGUAUGGGUAUUUGGUUGAAAUUCAUUCCUGAGUGAAAAAUAUAUCAGUUGAGGAUAGGCAUUGCUUGUUCUAUCUCUUGAGUUCAAAAGGAUGAAUUAAUUAUUGAAGGAAAUGAUACUGAAUGUGUUUCAAAUUCAUUAACUGAUUCAGCAAACUACAACAAUUAAAAACAAGGAUAUCAGAAAGUUUGGGGAUGGAAUCUAUGUGUCUGAAAUGGGAAUAGUGCAGCAGGCUGACAAAUAA
rnacentral:lncRNA from 1 species